AACAUCUUUCAGGUGUAACAACAGGUGCUUGUUCAAAUCCUGUGUUUCCUGUAUUGCUGGUUUUUCAUGGGUUUCUCCCUUUGGACCUACGCACUGUGGUGUGAUAUCUCAGAGCAGGAGGAACUUUUUCACUCAUAAGUUACAAAUCAACGCAGAAGCAGGAAAGAACCAAGAGAAAUAAAAAUGUUGCAAUUGCUGGGAACGGUUGUUGGCCUCCUCUUCAUCAUAAUGUGCUUUUCCAAAGGACUCAAAGAGGGAAUUAAAUCUCAAAGAAAACUAUCUGAAUCCCUUCCCAACAACAAGAAACAGAAGGAUCUGAGCGAAGAAGACGUGCAAUUGUUGGCAAGGAUCCUUUCAGUUGGAUUGGUCGAUGCAGAUCCAAACUAUCUCCACCAUCUUAAAUGCUACAGAGACUUACGUGGUCCCUGAUCUUCUUUCAAAUAAAAAAACCAAGGCCAAAUACCGCAAUAUAUUGACAGCAUACUGCUAUUCCUGGAUUUAUCCUUGGAGUUGUGAUGGCACCAAAUCAAGGCUACUCUGCAUUUUGUUUUGGAUACCACAAGUCAAGCGAUUCCUGCCUCCAGAUGUUCCAUGAUAAUGGAAAACAUGCACUUUAUUCAGGUCACUCAUAACAUUGAAAAACGAUUAUGGAAUGUCCUCCCCUUUGUCUGGAGGAGAAGUGAAUGGCGCUGUUAAUGGAUGUGAUGAUGCUGAUGGUGAAUACUGACUGCCUCACUGUAUACUUUUUGAAAAACAGCCACUGAUAUCAUACAUUCAACAUUCAUCUCUUUUCAUAUGAUAAUGAAUAUAUAGAAAAAGGCAUAACUUGUGAAGUUGUUUUUAAGUGGAACUUGCUUUACUAUGCUUGCUUUAAAUUGCUUUACUCAAGUGUACAUGCCAUGUUUAAUACCCGUUUGUUGAGCUGUAAAAUGUAAUUUUACCUCAAAACUUGAUGUGUAAUUUAGCUGUUGUACACCGUUUCAGCCCAUAAUAGACCAUUUUAAGUGAGACGAUGUAACUUUCCUGAACGGCAGCUGAGGCCACACUUGAAACAGAUGGACAAUUGCUAAUUAGGUUUUAAGCUAAAUGCUAAACAGUUGUUUACUGCUUGCUAGACAGUAGCACUAAGCUAAACAGUAGCAUUUAGCUACACAAUGUAGCGUUUAGCUAAAUGUUUUGAAUAGAAAGUAAAGAACAAGCAUCAAAUAACACAAAGUACCAUAAGUAAAAGCAUUCAUUUAGUAUUAGUAUAUACUUUAUUAUUUAAAUAUCAUUAUUGAUGUAUACUGUUUUCAUCACUUCGAUGUUGCAGCUGGUAAAGAAGGGGCUUGUUUUUGAAUUACUUAUAUAUACUGCCUGGUAGCUUUUGCGAAGGGAUCAAUUAUGUUAUAGUAAUAUGAUAGAUUUUUGUUUUGUCAUUAUAUUUUGUAUUCUCAUUCUGGAGCUUCAAAAUAACUUAAGUUAUCAGAUAUAUGUCGUGCAAAAGUGCAAUAUUUUCAGCUAAGAUGUAUUUGAGCAGAAGUAGCAGGAUAUGGAAAUACUCUAGCAAAGUACAAGUAUGACAAAAUUCGAACUGAAGGACAUAACUUGAUAUCAUGUUGAGUAACUGUACAUAGUAAUGUAAAGUUAGUGUCCACCACUGGUCAUGUCCUUACCUAGAGUAAAGGAGACAAAAGGGAGAGAUUAAACACAAAUGAACUUGUAGACCUAUGUUUUUGUCCAUUUAUAAACUUAAUGUGUCUUACUCCAGAA